rnacentral:rRNA from 1 species
CCUACGGGAGGCAGCAGUAGGGAAUAUUGGGCAAUGGGCGAAAGCCUGACCCAGCCACGCCGCGUGCAGGAAGACGGCCCUCUGGGUUGUAAACUGCUUUUGACUGGGAAGAAAGAAGCCCUUGCGAGGGAAGUUGACGGUACCAGUCGAAUAAGCCACGGCUAACUACGUGCCAGCAGCCGCGGUAAUACGUAGGUGGCAAGCGUUAUCCGGAUUUAUUGGGUUUAAAGGGUGCGUAGGCGGUUCGAUAAGUCAGUGGUUAAAGGUAGCAGCUUAACUGUUUUACAUGCCACUGAUACUGUUGAACUUGAGUUGACAGAAGGCAGAUAGAAUUUCUGGUGUAGCGGUGAAAUGCUUAGAUACCAGAAGGAAUACCGAUUGCGAAGGCAGUCUGCUGCAGUCACACUGACGCUGAGGCACGAAAGUGCGGGGAUCAAACAGGAUUAGAUACCCUGGUAGUCCGCACAGUAAACGAUGAUUACUAGAUGUUGGCGAGNGCAGUGUCGACGGAACGAGAAGUAUACACGUGGAGACGCCGGCGAACGGUAGUAACGUUACGAAGUAAGUUAGAGCGUUGNGAGNGCGACGGACGACGACGAGGGAGGAGG